rnacentral:lncRNA from 1 species
CCCAAGAGUAUAAAAUUCAAAAGAUAUAAUCAUUAAUUUAUUCAACAUGAUGUUGCAUUUUAUGUAUCUGAUUCAAGUCAGCUGCAGCUAAUUCACAUUCCACAUCAUGGAUAUGGUACUCUCAAUUCUACCAAAUAUAAAUGACAUGGCAGUUUCUAUCUAAGAAAUCUAAAUAUGUUCCAUGUUAUAUCAUUUCAAUGAAUUUUGUAAGUUAAAGAUGUGAAAAAACACCAUAUUCAAAUCUAACAAUUUUAUUAUUGCUUUUUAUUUCUAUUUUCCGGCUAUGACUCACUCUUGGCUGUUUACUUGCAGUUUCACUUGGCCAGGAAGUGAAACCAGAUUGCUUUCUUUACAAAUCUUUUUUUUUUUUUUUUUUAAAUCUUUCUUUUUUUUAAAUCACGUUUACAUUGACAUCUCUAAAAAUAAGAUAUAAAACUGAAUAUUAAUGAGAUCAACUUUUGCAUCAAAUUUAUUUUAACGAUCAUUCCAU